AUACGGAGGGUGCAAGCGUUAAUCGGAAUUACUGGGCGUAAAGCGUACGUAGGCGGUUCGUUAAGUUAGAUGUGAAAGCCCCGGGCUUAACCUGGGAACUGCAUUUAAAACUGGCGAACUAGAGUUGAGUAGAGGGGAGUGGAAUUUCAGGUGUAGCGGUGAAAUGCGUAGAGACCUGAAGGAACACCAGUGGCGAAGGCGACUCCCUGGACUCGAACUGACGCUGAGGUACGAAAGCGUGGGUAGCAAACGGGAUUAGAAACCCUUGUAGUCC
rnacentral:rRNA from 1 species